rnacentral:rRNA from 1 species
GACGAACGCUGGCGGCGUGCUUAACACAUGCAAGUCGAACGGAAAGGCCCUGCUUUUGUGGGGUGCUCGAGUGGCGAACGGGUGAGUAACACGUGAGUAACCUGCCCUUGACUUUGGGAUAACUUCAGGAAACUGGGGCUAAUACCGGAUAGGAGCUCCUGCUGCAUGGUGGGGGUUGGAAAGUUUCGGCGGUUGGGGAUGGACUCGCGGCUUAUCAGCUUGUUGGUGGGGUAGUGGCUUACCAAGGCUUUGACGGGUAGCCGGCCUGGGAGGGUGACCGGCCACAUUGGGACUGAGAUACGGCGCAGACUCCUACGGGAGGCAGCAGUGGGGAAUAUUGCACAAUGGGCGGAAGCCUGAUGCAGCGACGCCGCGUGCGGGAUGACGGCCUUCGGGUUGUGAACCGCUUUCGCCUGUGACGAAGCGUUAGUGACGGUAAUUGGUAAAGAAGCACCGGCUAACUACGUG